rnacentral:rRNA from 1 species
CAGCCGCCGCGGUAAUACGAAGGGGGCUAGCGUUGCUCGGAAUUACUGGGCGUAAAGGGUGCGUAGGCGGGUCUUUAAGUCAGAGGUGAAAUCCUGGAGCUCAACUCCAGAACUGCCUUUGAUACUGAAAGUCUUGAGUAUGGGAGAGGUGAGUGGAACUGCGAGUGUAGAGGUGAAAUUCGUAGAUAUUCGCAAGAACACCAGUGGCGAAGGCGGCUCACUGGCCCAUAACUGAAGCUGAGGCACGAAAGCGUGGGGAGCGAACAGGAUUAGAUACCCCCGUAGUCCCUGUCUCUUAUAC